AUACGUAGGGAGCGAGCGUUGUCCGGAAUUACUGGGUGUAGAGGGAGCGUAGGCGGGAGUGCAAGUCAGAUGUGAAAUGCAUGGGCUUAACCCAUGAGCUGCAUUUGAAACUGCAUUUCUUGAGUGAAGUAGAGGUAAGCGGAAUUCCUGGUGUAGCGGUGAAAUGCGUAGAUAUCAGGAGGAACACCGGUGGCGAAGGCGGCUUACUGGGCUUUUACUGACGCUGAGGCUCGAAAGCGUGGGGAGCAAACAGGAUUAGAUACCCUGGUAGUCCACGCUGUAAACGAUGAUUACUAGGUGUGGGGGGACUGACCCCUUCCGUGCCGCAGUUAACACAAUAAGUAUUCCGCCUGGGGAGUACGGCCGCAAGGUUGAAACUCAAAUGAAUUGACGGGG
rnacentral:rRNA from 1 species